UACGGAGGGUGCAAGCGUUAUCCGGAUUCACUGGGUUUAAAGGGAGCGUAGGUGGGCUUUUAAGUCAGUGGUGAAAUCUCCGAGCUUAACUUGGAAACUGCCAUUGAUACUAUCAGUCCUGAAUAUUGUGGAGGUUAGCGGAAUAUGUCAUGUAGCGGUGAAAUGCUUAGAUAUGACAUAGAACACCAAUUGCGAAGGCAGCUGGCUACACAUAUAUUGACACUGAGGCACGAAAGCGUGGGGAUCAAACAGGAUUAGAUACCCUUGUAGU
rnacentral:rRNA from 1 species